CCAACAUCGUUUUAGAGAAUUUGGCAAUACGUACAACCGGCCUCACAACCGCAAACCAUGUGUAACCACUCCAGCCCAUAGCUGGCUUCUUCACCUGCGGAAUCGUCUGAGACCAGCCACCCGGACAGCUGAUGAAACUGUGGGUUUGCACAUCCAAAGAAUUUCUGCACAAACUGUCAGGGAAGCUCAUCUGCGUGCUCGUCGUCCUCACCAGGGUCUUGACCUGACUGCAGUUUGGCGUCGUGACCAACUUCAGUGGGAAAAUGUUCACCUUCCAUGGCCACUGGCAUGCUGGAGAAGUGUGCGCUUCACGGAUGAAUCCCAGUUUCAACUGUACCGGGCAGAUGGCAGACAGUGUAUGGCAUUGUGUGGGCGAGCGGUAUGCUGAUAACAACAUUGUGAACAGAAUGCACCAUGGUGGCGGUGGGGUUAUGGUGUGGGCAGGCAUAAGCUAUGGACUAUAUUUUGCAUUUUAUCGAUGGAAAUUUGAAUGCACAGAGAUAGUGACGAGAUUCAUCCACCGUCAUCACCUUAUGUUUAAGCAUUAUAAUGAACGUCCUCAUGUCACAAGGACCUGUACACAAUUCCUGGAAGCUGAAAAUGUCCCAGACCUGUACACAAUUCCUGGAAGCUGAAAAUCCCCAGACAUGACACCCAUUGAGUUUGGGAAGCUCUGGAUUGACGUGUAUGACAGCAUGUUCCAGUUUACGCCAAUAUCCAGCAAAUUCGCAGAGCCAUUGAAGAGAAGUGGGACAACAUUCCACAGGCCACAAUCAACAACCUGAUCAACACUAUGCGAAGGUAUCUGUGACCAACAGAUGUAUAUCUGUAUUCCCAGUCAUGUGAAAUCCAUAGACUAGGGCCUAAUGAAUUUAUUUUAAUUGACUGAUUUCCUUAUUUAACCUGUUAUGGAUAGGGGGCAGUAUUUUCACGGCCGGAUAAAAAACGUACCCGAUUUAAUCUGUUUAUUACUCCUGCCCAGAAACUAGAAUAUGCAUAUAAUUGUUUGGUUUGGAUAGAAAACACCCUAAAGUUUCUAAAACUGUUUGAAUGGUGUCUGUGAGUAUACCAGAACUCAUAUGGCAGGCCAAAACCUGAGAAGAUUCCAAACAGGAAGUGCCCUCUGACCAUUUCUUGGUCUUCUAUACCCUCUUUAUUGAAAACAGAGGAUCUCUGCUGUAACGUGACACUUUCUAAGGCUCCCAUAGGCUCUCAGAAGGCGCCAGAACGUUGAAUGAUGACUUUGCAGUCCAUAGCUGAAAAACAGUAGCGCAUUUGGAUAGUGGUCGAUCUGAGAACAAUGAGACGGGUGCGCGCGUGCAUGUGAAGAGUCCAUUUUGCAUUUUCAGUCUUUGAACGAAAACAACGACUCCCGGUCGGAAUAUUAUCGCUAUUUUACGAGAAAAAUUGCAUAAAAAUUGAUUUUAAACAGCGUUUGGCAUGCUUCGAAGUACGGUAAUGGAAUAUUUUUAAAUUUUUUGUCACGAUACGCGCCGGCGCGUCACCCUUCGUUACCCUUUGGAUAGUGUCUUGAACGCAAGAACAAAACGCCGCUAUUUGGAUAUAACUAUGGAUUAUUUGGAACCAAACCAACAUUUGUUGUUGAAGUAGAAGUCCUGGGAGUGCAUUCUGACGAAGAACAGCAAAGGUAAUCCAAUUUUUCUUAUAGUAAAUCUGAGUUUGGUGAGUACCAAACUUGGUGGGUGUCAAAAUAGCUAGCCUGUGAUGGCCGGGCUAUCUACUCAGAAUAUUGCAAAAUGUGCUUUCACCGAAAAGCUAUUUUAAAAUCGGACACCGCGAUUGCAUAAAGGAGUUCUGUAUCUAUAAUUCUUAAAAUAAUUGUUAUGUAUUUUGUGAACGUUUAUCGUGAGUAAUUUAGUAAAUUCACCGGAAGUGUUCGGUGGGAAUGCUAGUUCUGAACGUCACAUGCUAAUGUAAAAGGCUGGUUUUUGAUAUAAAUAUGAACUUGAUUGAACAAAACAUGCAUGUAUUGUAUAACAUAAUGUCCUAGGAGUGUCAUCUGAUGAAGAUCAUCAAAGGUUAGUGCUGCAUUUAGCUGUGGUUUUGGUUUUUGUGACAUUAUAUGGUAGCUUGAAAAAUGGGUGUCUGAUUAUUUCUGGCUGGGUACUCUCCUGACAUAAUCUAAUGUUUUGCUUUCGUUGUAAAGCAUUUUUGAAAUUGGACAGUGUGGUUAGAUAAAGGAGAGUAUUGUCUUUAAAAUGGUGUAAAAUAGUCAUAUGUUUGAAAAAUGGCAGUUUUCGGAUUUUCGAGGAGUUUGUAUUUCGCGCCACGCCCUAUCAUUGGAUAUUGGAGCGGUGUUCCGCUAGCGGAACGUCUAGAUGUAAGAGGUUAAACUGUAACUCAUUAAAAUCUUAGAAAUUGUUGCAUGAUGCGUUUAUAUUUUUGUUCAAUGUAAAUGGUGGGAGACAGAUUUACGUUUACUAUUUUACGUCUACCCCUGAGUCAAGGUUGACAGGUCAGUAAUGCCUGGGGUCACAUUACAUGGCUAAGUCAAUAAACUGGAUGCACACAGUACAGGGAGACAGUGAGAGAGUGGUCUCUGUAGCUGACCGAAAGUCAUUGGGAACUUUGUUUCACCUUUGCAGUCUUGAUUUCAAUUUCAAGUUCGAACAAUCAUAUACUUGUCAAAUACUUAACCUGGAAGGCAUGCAAAAACAUUGCAGAGAGGAUCAAAUAUAGGCCAUAUGAUGAGCUUCAGAUCCAUGUGACUGGUUGAAGUCUUAGGAUUGACAUACUGUUUGGUGCUGGCUACGCCAGUCAAAUCCUUCUCCAAAGGGAGAAGGGGACUAUUUUCAACUGGUUCCUUUUGAAGUUUCCUAAAACUAAUGACCAGACUGGGGAGUUGAAGCUGCCCAGUUUGAGGCUGCUAUGUCAUUUAAUGCAGCCCUACAUGGUGGGCUAGUACGAUGGCCGUGAAGAGCAAAGUAGCUUUUAAGAUUUUUAAUAGAGCAGCUCUACAGGGUGUAACAAGAUUACUCAUAAUGCUUUAGCCAGAAUGCAUCGGAGGACCAUUUCCUAAGUGCACAUUUUCAUGAGUAGUCUUGUGUCGCAGGAAAUGAGCUGAUGAUUGGCUGGUAUUUAUGCUAUGACGUCAUGGUAUGUGAUAAUGGAUCAUUGAAGAGUCAGAAUGUACUCAUUGACUGCGUUUACACAGGCAGCCCAAUUCUGAUCUUUUUACACUUACUGGUCUUUUGCCUGAUCAGAUCAGCUCUUUUGACAAUAAUUGGGCAAAAGAUAAGAAUUGGGCUGCCUGUGUAAAUACAGCAUAGUGUCAAUAGUGGAACUUUUCUACACUUUGUUGAGGAUAAAGCGCAUGAUGAUAUAUCAAGAUGUCACAGGUGUGAUGAAUGCCCUAAUUUAUUAUUAUGUAUGUGCUCCUAAUUUAGUGUUUGUUAAUUGAUUGAUUAAUUGAGACCUGUGAUUACCUCCCUGUUUUUCUUUCUUUCGUUUGAGGUGUGGCCACCCAGGGAAAGGUGCAGGUGAGAGGGAAGCGGUGGCAGACUGAAAAAAAACAAAUCUCUGGAGAGACCUGAAAAUAGCUGUGCAGCAACGCUCCCCAUCCAACCUGACAGAGCUUGAGAGGAUCUGCAGAGAAGAAUGGGAGAAACUCCCCAACACAGUGAUAAAGACUGACGUCAAAGAGACCACAUUGAAGUCCUCCAUCCCCCACUUAGUCUGACUGCUGUUCUCUCUGGCUCCACUACAAACCCCCGCCCGGCUAUCUAGAGGUUCCCGUGCUAUUGGGAUUCUCCUGGCUCCAGCGACACAAUCCCCUCAUUGACUGGUCUGCUGGUGCCAUCAUGGGCUGGAGCCCGUUCUGCCACGCCCAUUGCCUGAAGUCAGCGCAGCCUGCCCUGGGAUGUCUCCCUGGGGGCUCGGAAGUUGCCCCGGACCUCUCCGCCUUUCCCGCAGAGUACCUGGAUCUCCGGGAGGUGUUCAGUAAGGCCCGGGCCACUUCGCUUCUGCACAGGGUUCUCUUUGUGAAGAAGGACAAAACCCUGCCCCCGUUCAUCAACUGCCGGGGUCUCAAUGACAUCAUGGUGAAGAACCGCUACCCGCUACCCCUCAUCUUCUCGGCCUUCGAGCCUCUCCAGGGGGCCACCAUGUUCUCCAAGCUGGACCUACGGAAUGCCUACCACCUGGUGCGGAUACGGGAAGGGGACGAGUGGAAGUCUGCCUUCAACAUGGCCAGCGGUCACUACGAGUAUCUGGUCAUGCCAUUUGGCCUUACCAACACCCCUGCUGUGUUCCAGGCUCUGGUUAAUGAUGCUCUCCGUGACAUGUUGAACCGGUUCGUCUUUGUCUACCUCGAUGACAUCCUUGUCUUCUCCCGCUCCACCCAAAAACACGUGCUCCACGUCCGACAUGUUCUCCAAUGCCUCCUGGAGAACCAGCUUUUUGUAAAAGCAGAUAAGUGUGAAUUCCAUCGCUUCACCAUCCCCUUUCUGGGUUACAUCAUCGCCGCAGGGAGUGUACAGAUGGAUCCCGGAAAGGUGAGAGCUGUGGUGGAUUGGCCCCAGCCUACGUCCAGGGUGCAACUGCAACAUUUCCUGGGAUUCAGCAACUGUUAUCGCUGCUUUAUCGGGGGUUACAGCACCCUGGCUCCCCCUCUGUCUGCACACCUCUCCCAAGGUUCUGUUCACAUGGUCCCCAGCUUCUGACCGGGCGUUCUGGGAUCUAAAACACCGCUUCACCACAGCUCCCAUCUUGGUUCAUCCUGACCCGUCCCACCAGUUUGUGGUGGAGGCUGAUGCUUCGGAUGUCGGAGUGGGGGCUGCCCUGUCCCAGCGUUCUGCCCUGGACCUCAAGUUACAUCCCUGCUUCGCCUUCUGCCACCGCCUCAAUGCCACAGAGAGGGACUACGAUGUGGGAAAUCGCGAGCUUUUUGCAGUGAAGAUGGCGUUGGAGUGGAGGCACUGGCUGGAGUGGGCAGAACAUCUGUUCAUUGUGUGGACUGACCACAAGAACCUGGAAUAUCUCCGCACCGCCAAGCGCCUCAAUUCCAGGCAAGCUAGGUGGGCCCUGCUGUUCACCCAGUUCAACUUCUCCCUCUCAUACUGGCCGGAAUCCAAGAAUGUCAAGCCGGAUGAGCUGUCACGCCGCUAUAGCCCCACGGCUUCAAACCCGAAAACCGAGACCAUCCUUCCCACCUCAUGCCUGAUGACUGCACUCAGCUGGGGAAUAGGGGAGAAGGUUCAUGAGGCGCAGUUUUCCCAGCCGAACCCCAGGGAGGCCCAGAUAACCAGAUGUUCGUUCCUGACGCGGUCCGCUCCUUGGUCCUGGAGUGGGCCCACUUCUCCAGGCUUGCCUGCCACCCGGGCUCCCGGCAGACCCUGGCCUUUGUGUGACAACACUUUUGGUGGCCUACCAUGGUUCCUGAUGUCUCCCUGUUCGUCACCGCAUGCACGAUUUGUGUACAGAACAAGACUCCUCGGCAAGCUCCGGCUGGUCUCUUUCAACCUCUUCCUGUCCCUCACCGUCCCUGGUCUCACAUAUCCCUGGACUUUGUCACGGGUCUCCCCCCGUCUGAUGGCAACACCAAAGCCGCCCACUUCAUUCCUCUCCCCAAACUACCCUCUGCCAAAGAGACGGCCCAGCUCAUGGUGCAGCACGUCUUCCGGAUCCAUGGACUGCCAAUGGACAGGGUCUCCGACCGGGGUCCUCAGUUCUCGUCCCAGUUCUGGAGUGCGUUCUGCACACUCAUUGGGUCAUCAGCCAUCCUGUCCUCCGGGUUCCACCCCAGUCCAAUGGCCAGUCGGAGCAAGCCAACCAAGACCUGGAGACGACUCUGCGCUGCCUGGUCUCCGCCAACCCCACCACCUGGACCUGGAGCCAGAAACUAGUGUGGGUCGAAUACGCCUGCAACACCCUUCCUUGCUCUGCCACGGGUCUCUCGUCCUUUGAGUGUUCCCUGGGGUAUCGGACCCCACUCUUCCCUGAGCUUGAGGAAGAGGUCGGCAUACCUUCGGCCCAGAUGUUUGUCCGCCGCUGUCAUCGUACCUGGAAGAGAGUCCGGUUGGCCCUUCUCAAGACCACCUCCAGGUAUCGACGACAAGCGGAUCGCCACUAUCCCCGGAUGCCCGGUAUUGUCUCGGGCAGAAUGUAUGGCUGUCCUCCCGGGAUCUGCCCCUCCGAGUGGAAUCCCGCAAACACUCCCCCCGGUUUAUCGGCCUUUUCCCCAUCUCAAAGGUCAUUAGCCCCUCUGCUGUUCGUCUUCUGUUGCCCCGUACCCUCCGUAUUCAUCCCACUUUCCUGGCCCACGCCUCUCCCUGUAUCAUCAACGGCCAACAGGCCUAUACUGUAAGGCGUCUCCUGAUGGUUUGACCUUGUGGCAGGGGGUUCCAGUACCUGGUUGACUGGGAGGGUUAUGGCCCAGAGGAGAGGUGCUGGGUCCCCGCUAGGGGUGCCAGGUCCCAGGUGUCACCAAUCUUCCCCAAUAUCACCAGUGUAUUUAUACCUGUGUUCUCUGUUUUGUCUGUUGUCAGUUGGUUUUGUUUCGUGAAAACUACCUGCAUUUCCCCCCUUGCUCCUGUCUGUUCUGUUUCCUAGUUUGACCAUUCUGCCUACCCUGAGCCUGCCUGCCAUUCUGUACCUUGCAACACCACACUGGAUUAUUGACACCUGCCUGCUCUGACCCUGAGACUGCCUGCCGUUCUGGACCUUUUGCACCCUGGAUUAGUGACCUCUGCCUGCCCUUGACCUGUUGUUUUGUCUGCC
rnacentral:lncRNA from 1 species